UUGUGUGGGUAAAUUUUUUUGCGAUUGGGGCUUUGUGUGGUCGAAAAGUUGGUCUGCAUCAGUGUUCUCGGGGUUUCGACAGCGUAUAGUGUGUUUGGAACGCUAAGAUAAUAUCUUCUUUUCUCCUUCCCGUUAUAGUAGUAUAAUAAAAAAACACAAACAUGGAUGCCAUCAAGAAGAAGAUGCAAGCGAUGAAGCUUGAGAAGGAUAACGCCAUUGACAAGGCCGAUACCUGUGAAACUCAAGCUAAGGAUGCCAAUUCCCGUUGCGACAAAUUGAAUGAAGAAGUCCGUGAUUUGGAAAAGAAAUUGGUUCAAGUUGAAGGCGAUUUGGUCUCCUCCAAGGAACAAUUGGACAAGGCCAACCAUGAAUUGGAAGAGAAGGAAAAAUUGUUGACCGCUACCGAAUCUGAAGUUGCUACUUUGAAUCGUAAGGUGCAACAGAUUGAAGAAGAUUUGGAAAAGUCUGAAGAACGCUCAACCAGCGCCCAACAAAAAUUGUUGGAAGCCUCCCAAGCUGCUGAUGAAAACAACCGUAUGUGCCAAGUAUUGGAGAACCGUUCUCAACAAGAUGAAGGCCGCAUGGAUCAAUUGACCAACCAAUUGAAGGAAGCCCGUAUGUUGGCUGAAGAUGCUGAUACCAAAUCCGAUGAAGUAUCCCGCAAGUUGGCCUUCGUUGAAGAUGAGUUGGAAGUCGCUGAAGAUCGUGUCCGCUCCGGUGAAGCCAAGAUCAUGGAACUUGAAGAAGAAUUGAAGGUUGUCGGUAACUCCUUGAAAUCUUUGGAAGUAUCCGAGGAAAAGGCCAACCAACGUGUUGAAGAAUUCAAGCGUGAAAUGAAGACUUUGACCGUCAAAUUGAAGGAAGCCGAACAACGUGCCGAACAUGCUGAGAAGCACGUCAAGCGUCUCCAGAAGGAAGUCGACAGGCUAGAAGACCGUCUCUUCCAAGAAAAAGAAAAAUACAAAGCAAUCUGCGAUGAUUUGGACUCUACCUUCGCCGAACUUACCGGAUAUUAAAACAUAACUCAUAUUACAAACACUACAACACACAUACACAUGCACACAGACAAAUUUGAAUUCAAACAGAAUACCAGUCCCCUCUUAAAAUCCAAAAAAAAUCUAGAAUUGUUCAAAGUAUUCUUCUAAAAAGUAUUGUGUGGAGAACAACGAGUUUUGUUGUUCCCAAAACUCCUCUUCUAGUACAUAUUUCCCCCCUUCGGCUCCUUUCAAAUAUCCUGUACAAACCGUGUCAAAAAACCACUGCCUACUCCGUCUCCCUACCAAUUCAGUCAGUAAUUUGCUUUUAACCCACACAUUUAUUCUGCGAGUGUAAUAUAAAUAUAAAAUAUCUGAACACAGGACACUGAAAGAACUACACUGUAAAAAGUCAAAAACAGCGUUUAUUAUAAGAAAAUACCAACCUGCCUACGUUUCUUGUAAAAUAAACUAAGUCAGCAACCGUAUGAGGUGAUUGAAUUCGACAUUCGAAUUUUACAAAUGUAUUACGAAUUGGGCAUCAACAAGGACAGAUACAAGUCUUUGGCCGACGAAAUGGACUCCACAUUCGCCGAAUUGGCUGGUUAUUAAACGAUUUUGUUGGUCUCUCUGUAAUAUGUUUUCCAUCUUGUAAAAAAAAUAAAAUUAAAAAAAGAACUAUA